UACGUAGGGUGCGAGCGUUAAUCGGAAUUACUGGGCGUAAAGCGUGCGCAGGCGGUUUUGUAAGCCAGAUGUGAAAUCCCCGGGCUCAACCUGGGAAUGGCAUUUGGGACUGCAAGGCUUGAGUGCGGCAGAGGAGACUGGAAUUCCUGGUGUAGCAGUGAGAUGCGUAGAUAUCAGGAGGAAUACCGAUGGCGAAGGCAGGUCUCUGGGCUGACACUGACGCUCAUGCACGAAAGCGUGGGGAGCAAACAGG
rnacentral:rRNA from 1 species